UACGAGUACCUCAAGCGUUAUCCGGAAUUAUUGGGCGUAAAGGGUGUGUAGGUGGUUUUGUUAGUCUCUUGUCAAAUUCUUCGGCUUAACCGGGGGUCCGCAAGGGAAACGGCAAAACUAGAGGAUGCGAGGGGUUUGCGGAACUCAUAGUGUAGCGGUGAAAUGCGUUGAUAUUAUGGGGAACACCAAAAGCGAAGGCAGCAGACUGGAGCACUCCUGACACUGAAACACGAAAGCGUGGGUAGCGAAUGGG
rnacentral:rRNA from 1 species